rnacentral:rRNA from 1 species
UGAGGAAUAUUGGGUCAAUGGGCGAAAGCCUGAACCAGCCAUGCCGCGUGAAGGAAUAAGGCCCUAUGGGUCGUAAACUUCUUUUGUAUCGGAGCAAUAAGGGCCACGAGUGGUCCGAUGAGAUUACGAUACGAAUAAGCAUCGGCUAACUCCGUGCCAGCAGCCGCGGUAAUACGGAGGAUGCAAGCGUUAUCCGGAUUUUAUUGGGUUUAAAGGGUGCGCAGGCGGCGCGCCAAGUCAGCGGUCAAAGUUCCGGGCUCAACCCGGUGUCGCCGUUGAAACUGGCGUGCUCGAGUGCGUGCGAGGAAGGCGGAAUGCGUUGUGUAGCGGUGAAAUGCAUAGAUAUGACGCAGAACUCCGAUUGCGAAGGCAGCUUUCCAGCGCGCUACUGACGCUGAGGCACGAAA